rnacentral:miRNA from 1 species
UGAUUGUGUGUGUGUGUGUGCGCGUGCGCGCACACACACACACACACACACAAUCC